rnacentral:misc_RNA from 1 species
GAUGAAGAACGUAGCGAAAUGCGAUAAGUAAUGUGAAUUGCAGAAUUCAGUGAAUCAUCGAGUCUUUGAACGCACAUUGCGCCCCCUGGUAUUCCGGGGGGCAUGCCUGUCCGAGCGUCAUUGCUGCCCUCAAGCACGGCUUGUGUGUUGGGCCUCCGUCCUCCUCCCGGGGGACGGGCCCGGAAGGCAGCGGCGGCACCGCGUCCGGUCCUCGAGCGUAUGGGGCUUCGUCACCCGCUCUUGUAGGCCCGGCCGGCGCUUGCCGACACAUCAAUCUUUUUUCCAGGUUGACCUCGGAUCAGGUAGGGAUACCCGCUGAACUUAAGCAUAUCAAUAAGCGGAGGA